rnacentral:tmRNA from 1 species
GUCCCGUAAGGGACUAUGGAUGUAGACGGGCUUGUGAAGCUGGAUCGGACGGGGGUGCGAUUCCCCCCACCUCCACCA